rnacentral:lncRNA from 1 species
AGAAUAUCUGACUGGAAUUUCGUUGAUGACAUAUUUGUUUUCACAAUGCAUUAAUACUUGAAACCUGAUGACAUUUUUUAAUUGAAAAAUUCCUAUGCAAAUCAAGUAUGUAAAAAACUAUUUCCAUGGAAGAAAGGGUUAAAGAAGCAUUUUCCAUGUUACACGAUGUAUUACCUAUGUACUAUAAACCAUUUACUAACAGUGUAUUGAUUUAUGCAUGUUUAUAUGUUGAAAUGCUUAUAUAAGGAUUUAAAUUUGUGCUUUUUCACUUUUUGUCAAUUCUGUUUACGGUAGCAUGUAUACAUACAUGUAUAAUGUGUCUGUGCACAUUUAUGCUAAACUACAAUUGUUUGAAGUGACGUUUAUCAGACAAAGUGGCAUAACUCAGACAAAAAUUUCACACUGACACAGUAUGGUUGUUUCGAUUGUUGGCUAAACAAAAAUUGCAUUCAAUAGUAAAUUUAGAAAAAUUGAAACAGAAAUUGAAAAAUGUGAAUGUCUUUCUGAUAUUCUAAAUCUCCUUAAUAUGUUUAUUAUAAGUGGAAGAAAAUGAGACAGUUUGAAUAGUCAUUUUAUGUUUAAUGCCAUAGCGGAUGGGGCAUAAAGUUUACCCUUGUCCGUCUGUACACACGGACAUACAUUUGUAUGUAUUUGUACAUCUUUACAUACAUGAGGCCACAUGAAAAUAUAUGUGUGGUUCCAGUUACCCGACCGACCCUAGUUAAACCCCCCACCCUAGAACUUUUUUUUCAUUUCUGAAAAAUAAAUUUUCAAACGGAUCAAAUUUUAAGGAAUGUGAUUUAAAAUAAUUAAAUUGAUAAAUUUCUGUCAUCUUAAUUUCCAUCAGAAGUAUUUGUUAUGGCUAAAAUUCAAGAUUUCAUACAGAAUGCAACAAAAUUACUUAAAAACGUUAUACUGUUUAUUUUACAACCAAACACAUGUAAAAAUGGCGGACUACCGGUUGGGUCAUGUAUAAUACCGGAAACAAUUUCGAUAAGCACCCGAUUUUUUUCUGGAUUCGGACAAUCAAAAAUAAAAAUUUGAAAAAAAGAAGAAAAAAAAACCGACCUACCGCCCCUGUUUUUUAAAAGUAUGUAACUGGAACCACACAUAUAUUUUUAUUUGGCCUGAAAUACAUCCCUAAGUUGAUUUCCGUUCUCUAACUUUAGUUUGCUUCAACCAAAUGUUAAUAAACUUAUUCAAAAGCUUAUUACCACAAAACACAGAUCAAGUUUGAAUUUUGGUGGCGUCACAUACUGUUCUAGAGUUUUGCCCCUUUACAAAUGAAAAAAAUGCUGAAUUUUCUGUUUUCGUUCUCUAACUUUAGUUUGCCUUAACCAAAUGUUAUUAAAGUUAUACACAAUGCUUAUUGCCACAAAAUACAGAUUUUUGGUGGUGUCACUUCAAACGUUCUAGAGUUAUAUAUGCUCCUUUCCAAAGGGAAAAAUAGGAAUCUAAUAUCUUUUCUUAAAAUAACAAUGAUGUAAUUUUUGUCGAGCCUGCAACUUUUGUUGCAGAAAGCUCGACAUAGGGAUAGUGAUCCGGUGGCGGCGUUAGCUCACUUCUUAAAAGCUUUAUUUUUUAAAAGGUGGAAGACCUGGAUGCUUCAUACUUUGUAUAUAGAUGCUUCAUGUUACGAAGUUUCCGUCAGUCACAUGUCCUUGACCUCAUUUUCAUGGUUCAGUGA